rnacentral:rRNA from 1 species
AUUGAACGCUGGCGGCAAGCCUAACACAUGCAAGUCGAACGAGUGGCGGACGGGUGAGUAAUGUCUGGGGAACUGCCUAUUAGAGGGGGAUAACUAUUGGAAACGGUAGCUAAUACCGCAUACUAGUCGAUGGACCUGCGUUGUAUUAGCUAGUAGUUAGGGUAAUGGCCUACCUAGGCGACGUUACAUAGCCGACCUGAGAGGGUGAUCAGCCACACUGGGACUGAGACACGGCCCAGACUCCUACGGGAGGCAGCAGUGGGGAAUAUUGCACAAUGGGCGCAAGCCUGAUGCAGCCAUGCCGCGUGUAUGAAGAAGGCCUUCGGGUUGUAAAGUACUUUCAGCCGGGAGGCGUUACCCGCAGAAGAAGCACCGGCUAACUCCGUGCCAGCAGCCGCGGUAAUUC